rfam:Callithrix jacchus chromosome 10, whole genome shotgun sequence
UUAUGGGGCCAUACUGCCCUGAGCACACCCCAUCUCCUCUGAUCUUGGAAGCGGAGCAAGGUUGGGCCUGGUUAGUAUUUGGAUGGGAGAAUUAGGGGAAGGCUUUCCAGGCAGAGAGAAUAGC